CAGUAACGCGUAGUCAACCUACCCUAUGGACGGGGAUAACCUCGGGAAACUGAGAAUAAUACCCGAUAGAACAUUAUACCUGGAAUGGUUUAUGUUUCAAAUAAUUUAUUGCCGUAGGAUGGGACUGCGGCCUAUCAGUUUGUUGGUGAGGUAAUGGCCCACCAAGACUAUUACAGGUACGGGCUCUGAGAGGAGUAGCCCGGAGAUGGGUACUGAGACACGGACCCAGGCCCUAUGGGGCGCAGCAGGCGAGAAAACUUUGCAAUGUGCGAAAGCACGACAAGGUUAAUCCGAGUGGUUUCUGCUAAAGGAACCUUUUGCCAGUCCUAAAAACACUGGUGAAUAAGGGGUGGGCAAGUUCUGGUGUCAGCCGCCGCGGUAAAACCAGCACCUCAAGUGGUCAGGAUGAUUAUUGGGCCUAAAGCAUCCGUAGCCUGCUUUGUCAGUUUUCGGUUAAAUCCAUACGCUCAACGUAUGGGCCGCCGGGAAUACUGCAAAGCCAGGGAGUGGGAGAGGUAGACGGUACUCGGUAGGAAGGGGUAAAAUCCUUUGAUCUAUUGAUGACCACCUGUGGCGAAGGCGGUCUACCAAAACAUGUCCGACGGUGAGGGAUGAAAGCUGGGGGAGCAAACCGGAUUAGAUACCCGGGUAGUCCCAGCUGUAAACUAUGCAAACUCGGUGAUGCAUUGGCUUGAUGCCAAUGCAGUGCCGCAGGGAAGCCGUUAAGUUUGCCGCCUGGGAAGUACGUACGCAAGUAUGAAACUUAAAGGAAUUGGCGGGGGAGCACCACAAGGGGUGAAGCCUGCGGUUC
rnacentral:rRNA from 1 species